AAGGAGGGGAAAGUAGGAGUGGUGGAGGGGAAAUGAGGAAGAAAAACAUCUUAGCGGUCACAACCUGGCUAUUUCACAACUUUUGGAAGAGAAGAAAUUGCAUCAUAUGGGAUCUGGAAAAAGCUAAUUCCAGCUGAAAUGCAUUUGGCACAACAUUGAAUGACUUAGCUGGAGAAGAGGGAAUGGAGAGAUGAAGAACGUGUCCAGGAAUAAAGACAGAAGUGGGAAAAGUUUUUAAGGACAUUCUCCUAUAUUUCUGCCGCAGUAUUGCACUUUCACACCAGCAAAUAUGAUUCAUCCACUUUAUGUAUUUGUGACUAGAUGUGAAAUUAUCCCUCCUUCUUUUUCUUGUAAUGUUUUUCUUCAUUUCAAUAUCAGAACAACGUAUCAUCACACCUUUUUGUUUGUUUGUUUGUUUGUUUGCUUUUUUCCCUGUACAUGUACACCAUAAGCAUUUUCAAUAGCGCAGGUAUCUUUACAAGAUUUUGUUUCACAAAGAGAUUGUAUACUUAAUUAAAGAGAAAACAACAGACUUGCAUACAGCAACACAUCCACACACAUCCACUCACAAAACAAUAAAUGAGAGUAAGUCUUCUGUGACAGCACUAUUUUCCACUGUCUAGAUGAUUAGAGAGUCCAGUGCUUUUUAUCAAAGACAACCUCUUUCUCUCCUUUCGAGCUUUAAAUAAAUACUUGUGCUAAUUGCAGAUACUAGCAAAAUGCAGCACCAAAACUGGCAUGGAUGUGAAAGGGAAUAAACAAGCUAUGGUAGAUUAAACAUUGUUUUUCUGUCACUGUCAGAAUGUAUAAUAGAGAGUCCCAUGUUAUUUUACUGUUUCUGUACUUGUAAUGCAUGUCAGAUACCUAUAAUUUAUGACACAGAGCUAUUGCUUCAUGAGUUGCACUUCCUUUUAAACUGAUGCUGAACUCGUUAGUGGGAGAAAUGUGACAGG
ensembl:lncRNA